GCAGAAUCAGUGUGAUGUCACGGCUCGCUCUGCCUGCGCUGUUCAGGGCUGUGCACGUGUAAACCCCGGCAUGUUCAAAUUGUGCGUUUUUAAUGUGCAGUGUUCCAUUUGUGAAGGUCAGCAGGUUGGCUCCUCCCCUCACAGAGCCACCCAAUUUGUGCCAUUGCAGCUCGGGCUCCGGCAAUCCAAUCGCUGAACAUGGCACACUGACAGACUCACCAACACUGAGAGUGUAUUCAUCACGAGCUGAUGGAUGGUGUUGGACGUCCUGUGGAGUGACACGGUAAUACCACUGUCUGCAUCUUAAUGGCCGUAACACUGACGACAUCAUCUUCA
ensembl:lncRNA